rnacentral:rRNA from 1 species
UACAGAGGUCCCAAGCGUUGUUCGGAUUCACUGGGCGUAAAGGGUGCGUAGGUGGUGAGGUAAGUCGGAUGUGAAAUCUCCAAGCUCAACUUGGAAACUGCAUUGGAAAACUACCCUUGCUAGAGGAUUUGAGGGGGGGAUUGGAAUACUUGGUGUAGCAGUGAAAAUGCGUAGAUAUCAAAGUGGAACACCAGUGGCGAAGGCGAAUCCCCUGGAAAAUACCUGACACUGAGGCACGAAAGCUAGGGGAGCAAACAGGAGUAGAAAACCCCU